GAUGAACGCUAGCUACAGGCUUAACACAUGCAAGUCGAGGGGCAGCACAGUGUAGCAAUACAUGGGUGGCGACCGGCGCACGGGUGCGUAACGCGUAUCCAACCUUCCCGUUACUCAGGGAUAGCCUUCCGAAAGGGAGAUUAAUACCUGAUGGUAUUCAAAUUUCGCAUGUUAUUUGAAUUAAAGAUUUAUCGGUAACGGAUGGGGAUGCGUGACAUUAGGUAGAUGGCGGGGUAACGGCCCACCAUGCCUACGAUGUCUAGGGGUUCUGAGAGGAAGGUCCCCCCANACUGGAACUGAGACACGGUCCAGACUCCUACGGGAGGCAGCAGUGAGGAAUAUUGGUCAAUGGUCGGAAGACUGAACCAGCCAAGUAGCGUGAAGGAAGACUGCCCUAUGGGUUGUAAACUUCUUUUGUUCGGGAAUAAAGUGCAGUAUGUAUACUGUUUUGUAUGUACCGUUCGAAUAAGCAUCGGCUAAUUCCGUG
rnacentral:rRNA from 1 species